CAGGCUUAACACAUGCAAGUCGAGGGGCAGCAUGGUCUUAGCUUGCUAAGGCCGAUGGCGACCGGCGCACGGGUGAGUAACACGUAUCCAACCUGCCGUCUACUCUUGGACAGCCUUCCGAAAGGAAGAUUAAUACAAGAUGGCAUCAUGAGUCCGCAUGUUCACAUGAUUAAAGGUAUUCCGGUAGACGAUGGGGAUGCGUUCCAUUAGAUAGUAGGCGGGGUAACGGCCCACCUAGUCUUCGAUGGAUAGGGGUUCUGAGAGGAAGGUCCCCCACAUUGGAACUGAGACACGGUCCAAACUCCUACGGGAGGCAGCAGUGAGGAAUAUUGGUCAAUGGGCGAGAGCCUGAACCAGCCAAGUAGCGUGAAGGAUGACUGCCCUAUGGGUUGUAAACUUCUUUUAUAAAGGAAUAAAGUCGGGUAUACAUACCCGUUUGCAUGUACUUUAUGAAUAAGGAUCGGCUAACUCCGUGCCAGCAGCCGCGGUAAUACGGAGGAUCCGAGCGUUAUCCGGAUUUAUUGGGUUUAAAGGGAGCGUAGAUGGAUGUUUAAGUCAGUUGUGAAAGUUUGCGGCUCAACCGUAAAAUUGCAGUUGAUACUGGAUAUCUUGAGUGCAGUUGAGGCAGGCGGAAUUCGUGGUGUAGCGGUGAAAUGCUUAGAUAUCACGAAGAACUCCGAUUGCGAAGGCAGCCUGCUAAGCUGCAACUGACAUUGAGGCUCGAAAGUGUGGGUAUCAAACAGGAUUAGAUACCCUGGUAGUCCACACGGUAAACGAUGAAUACUCGCUGUUUGCGAUAUACAGCAAGCGGCCAAGCGAAAGCGUUAAGUAUUCCACCUGGGGAGUACGCCGGCAACGGUGAAACUCAAAGGAAUUGACGGGGGCCCGCACAAGCGGAGGAACAUGUGGUUUAAUUCGAUGAUACGCGAGGAACCUUACCCGGGCUUAAAUUGCAGAUGAAUUACGGUGAAAGCCGUAAGCCGCAAGGCAUCUGUGAAGGUGCUGCAUGGUUGUCGUCAGCUCGUGCCGUGAGGUGUCGGCUUAAGUGCCAUAACGAGCGCAACCCUUGUUGUCAGUUACUAACAGGUUCCGCUGAGGACUCUGACAAGACUGCCAUCGUAAGAUGUGAGGAAGGUGGGGAUGACGUCAAAUCAGCACGGCCCUUACGUCCGGGGCUACACACGUGUUACAAUGGGGGGGUACAGAGGGCCGCUACCACGCGAGUGGAUGCCAAUCCCAAAAACCUCUCUCAGUUCGGACUGGAGUCUGCAACCCGACUCCACGAAGCUGGAUUCGCUAGUAAUCGCGCAUCAGCCACGGCGCGGUGAAUACGUUCCCGGGCCUUGUACACACCGCCCGUCAAGCCAUGGGAGCCGGGGGUACCUGAAGUGCGUACCCGAGAGGAGCGCCCUAGGGUAAAACUGGUGA
rnacentral:rRNA from 1 species